GCUAGGCAUGUGGGGCACACCUGUAGUCAUAGCUCAUGGGGAGGUUUAAGCUGGUGGAUCUCUUGAGCUUGGGAGCUCUGAGCUGCAGGAGGUUAUGUCCUCAUUAAGUCUAGCAUCAAUAGGGUGCGCCUCCAAGAGUGGGGGGCCAUCUAAUUGCUUAAAGAGGGAUGAAUCAGCUCAGUUAGAAACAGAACAGGUCGAAGUUCCCAUGUCAAUCAGUAGUAGGAUCUCGUCCACAAGUAAGGCCCAAUACUUUCAGCCUGGGUGAGGUAGGGUGACCUAAUUUUU
rnacentral:SRP_RNA from 1 species